rnacentral:rRNA from 1 species
UACAGAGGUCUCAAGCGUUGUUCGGAUUCAUUGGGCGUAAAGGGUGCGUAGGCGGCGCGGUAAGUCGGGUGUGAAAUCUUGGAGCUUAACUCCGAAACUGCAUUCGAUACUGCCGUGCUUGAGGACUGGAGAGGAGACUGGAAUUUACGGUGUAGCGGUGAAAUGCGUAGAUAUCGUAAGGAAGAACCAGUGGCGAAGGCGGGUCUCUGGACAGUUCCUGACGCUGAGGCACGAAGGCCAGGGGGAGCAAAACGGGG